UGGAGCCGACCUUAGACAUCCUAGUUAGCUGAGGACGCAAGCGCCACAGAGGUGCGUAGUGUGGGUAGAAGAGAGACAACGAGGACAUCGUGUGGACAAGCGACGAACUGCGUGAGUUCCGUCCGCAGCAGGAAGAACAGAAGAGGGGAGAAGGGCAGCGUAUGAAGAAAGCCCUCUGGAGAACAACAAGGAGGGAUAAGGCUGUCAGGCUCAGGCAGGACACUCACCAAGACAAAGCCUACCUCAUUUCCUGAAUCACUUCCUCCCCAGCCCAUCAUGGGAUUCAUCCUCAUCUGACUAAUGAUAUGAAUAUUACAAGUCCAGCCUGAUUACGAUAUAGUUGGCCCCUCGGGGGCCCUCAGGAUUAAGAGCCGUCUCAGUUACCCACAGAUAAACAAACACGGGUCACAAAUGUCAUCCAGCAGCAAACAGACGUCCUUGGUUGUACCAGUAGCAUUACGGUGACAGUAGCAGCAUGACGCAGGACUGCAGAUGGACGCCAGAUGAUGUCAUCUCUGAUUCAAGAUACAGCACAUCACAGCAGUACUACAGUCCAGGGCAAAACUCUGCUUCAGAGUUUCAACUCACAUCAAUCUGAGCGUCCCACUCGGCGAGAGGAAUACGCCGCCCGUAGUUCAGGAUGUGUCUGCCGAUGUCAUCACAAAUUGGUGUUGUUCCUAACCGACA